rnacentral:lncRNA from 1 species
CUGGCACAAAGUACCAGCACAAAGUACCAGCACAAAGUAGGCAUUCAAUAAAUGUUCAUGAAUGAAUGAAUGAAUAUACGAACAAAAGAGAAAGAAUGGUCAACUAUAAAGAGAAAGAUGACAGAUUUAAGAAAAAUACAAUAAUGUUACUACAGACUUCUAUUGGCUGGAAGGCAAACAAGGGAGUCACAUGAACAGGAUCAUUACAGAUUUGCCACAAAUUUGCAAAGAUUUAUGGGAAAUGUCAUUUGGCUUUUCUAGGUCUUUCUAUAAUUUGGGAAGGGUAUUUAUCACCUUAUUCCUCACAAGAAUGCUAUAAAUCAUCGUGUAAUUUUGUAUGUUUUUCAUUGCAAUCUAUAACUUAAAGCUCACAGCAAAAAAAAUUCAGCUCCUGGGGAAUAGCAACCCUAGAGGGGCCUUUUGUAUCUUGGACACCAGACCAAAGAUCCCAACUACAAACUCAGUCUCCACAGGUACCCAGGACCUUCUGGAUGUCAGUAAGGAAGACCAGCCCAAUACAGAGCCCUAGGUAUCUCCCUGAAAGAUGAGAGUCUCAAAACUGGACUGGCCUUGGGCUCUAAGCCUAGAAGGUCAAUAUUUCAUGGUUUCUAAUUGCAAGAAUGAUUCUAGGGCACAAUCUCAUCUCUGGAUGAGAUUCUCCAACUGUAAUGUGAAUUGUCUAGGAUAAUCUGGCAAUCUUGUUACAAUGCACAUUUAGAACCAGUAGGUCUAGGGUAAGGCCUGACACUCUGCUUUGCUAAUAAGCACCCAGAUGAUGAGAAUGCUGCUGGUCUGUGGAGGCGCCAACUUGGAGUAGCGAGUCUGGAGUCUCUGGAGCCCAACAGUGCCUCAGAAUAGCAAUCACAGAGCACCGCAUGGGCUCAGAUGAGAGGGAGUCUUUGGAAAUACUUCCUGUCUUAGUAUUAGCCUCUCAAAGCACAGUCUCUGGACCCCAACAGACAAGAAUUGGAAUCUAGAUACUGCCACACCAGGAGCUUUGUGAUCUUGAGUCAAUUGUCCUUUGGCUCUCAGUUUCUCCAUCUGUAAAAUGGGGCUGAUCAUACCUAUUAGAACUGUUGUGAAGAUUAAAUCCAGGCAAACAGACCUACAUUUGAAAUCCAACUCUUCCUUUAGCUCUCACUAGCUAUGAGGUAUUAGGAAAAGCAUUCAAGCUCACCAAGCCUCAGUUUUCUCAUCUGGAAAGGCAAGAUACUAAUAAUUAACUCACAAGGUUGUUUUCAAGAUUCAAUGAAAUAACUCAGUGUUCUCAAUGUGGGACACAUUCCUGAGGUUCACACUUCUUUUAAAACAUUAUCGAAGGCAGUUGUUAAGAGAAAAGAUGUUAUAAAGCUAAAAUAUUCAGAUAAAGUAUUUGGAGAAAGCAGAAUUUUAUCUGAAGCUUGAAAAACUAUUAGGAUCUGCAGAAUGGGUGAGAAUGUUGCCUUUUUAUAAGCAAGUCAGAGCUCAGAAUAUAAUUCUCUCCAUUCUUUACUUGACUAAUUGUUAGUCACUCCUUGUUCUCUGUUUAGAUGUCAUUAACUCAGGGAAAUCUUUUCAGCCCUUCAGGCCAGGCUAUUUCCUAAACUACGUGUUAUUACCAUAUUCAGUACUUGGCACCAUAUUCCUCCCUCACCAAUCUCUGAGGCCUAUAAGGCAGGGACUCUGUCUGCCUUGUUCCCUGUUGUAUCCCUAGACCUAGCACAGCAUCCAACAAUAUCUUAGGCAUUCUGUUAAUAUUUUUUGCAUAACCGCAUGAAAUAGAAUUCAGAAUUCAAGUGGUCAGAUUUCAAAUAUGUUUGAAAUGAGAUAUAAUUUUCUUCUACAAAGUAUACAUAAAAGAUCAUAAUUUCUACUUUCAAUUCAACAACAGAAAUUACAUAACACCGGUCCUUUAGACCUUAUAGGAGAUGGAAGGACAUAGGCAUGAAUAAAUCACAGGCUUGUGGAGCUCCCAAAAUAGCAGAAAGAUUAAUACAUCAACAACAUCGGUGGUGGGAUAAGCAUAUGAUUAGGGUGUAUAUGAAGUGCUUUGAGAGCACAGAUACAGGAGCAAUUCCUUCUUCUGGAGAGAAGUUGAAGGAAGCAGGGAAAGUUGCAAAGAAGACAGUUGAGCUGGACUUUGAAGGAUGAGCUGCAAUUGGCUCAGUGAACAUGGAGAUGAAACAGCAUUGAUUUCAUUUUAAGAGUGCCUCCAGAGCACAAAUUCUGAAGCCGGGCUCUGCAACUUACUCUUCCUGGACCCUUAGGCAACUUAGUUGCCCUCUCUCUGCCACUUCAGUUUUCUCAUCUGAAAAUGGGACUAACAACAGAAUGUAUUCUGUUAGGUCCCUUAUGAGGAUUUCAUACAUUAAUCUAGGCUAAGUGCUCAGAGUAGUGCUGGGCACCCAGUAAAGGUUAUAUAAAUGUUAGUUGUUGUUGCCGCCGCUGCUGCUGUUGUUACCAUUAUACUUAGUUGUAGCCAAAACUAUUUUCAUCUGCUAAUCAAAAUGUGGCUUUAUACCCAUAAUGGGUUUCAGUCCACCUGUAUGCCUGAGCACACCAGUGGAAAACCACUGCUCUAAAAAGAAUGGAAGGGAGACAACGGUGAACAGGGACAGAUGCAUUAGAUAUUAACUGACUGUAAUCCAGGUGAAAAAUGGUGUCUUCCUAUGUAGUGAAAAUAGAACACAGCCCAGGCCAGAGCUUUGAGGUGUUAUAUUGGGAAGUGCUGGUUUAGUACUACUUACCAGAAGAGAGGUCUAAAAUCUGUCUUGCAUAUUUCAGCACGAGUACCAAUCAAGUGAGUACUCUUCCUAAGAACAGCUCCUUUUUAUUUGCUAUUUUUUGCCUCACAACCUUUAAAGCAGGAAGAUGGCUUAACAGGUCAAAGAAACAUCAUUCAUUCUGUAUACAUUGCUCUGGAGUAAACUCCUCUAUCAAUAUUUCAUGAAACAGACUCCCCAGAAUGGGAGUGCAGACUGAAGGUCAGAGACGGUCAGUCACGGCUGAUGUUGGAAGGCUUGGCUGAAACUCAUUGAUGUCACAUUCAGAGGCUGUCUACAGCCAAGACAAAGGAUGCUACAUCCUAGAGAAGGGGUUUAAAGAGAAGAUUCUACAGAGACAACUACUUUACAAACAAACAAAGGGCCCUACAUUGUCUUACAUUCAUGACAUGAUUCCGUUCCCCACUCCAGACGGUGUUCCUAUUUUUACUCAGCUCCCGGUAUUCUUUCUGUUUCCACCCAAUUAAUUGUCAGAUGAUUCGCAGUCAUGAGACGAUUUGGUCACAUAAUGAGAUGGUCCGUGAUUGCUGCAUACUUCCUCCCUUCUCCCAAAAUUGUACCAACAUGACAGAAUAAUUUUGGUGAAAAUCUUAGAAUGCAUGACCACUUCUGUCUCAGCAGCAGUUGUUUUCUGUCUUUUCUGGAACAAAAACAGUAGAAGCCCCACUAGCUGUAAAAUGCAGAAUGGCCAGUUAUCUGUCCCAACCUUCUCCAGGGCAUUAUCAGGAGCUCCUGAGUGACGAGCCAUGUUCAGUUAGCUUCCUAUGCACAGCUGUUAGCACAGUGCCUCACAAAUACAUACAUUUUUCAUAUUAUUAGAUGAUGAUUACAACCCUUUGUUAAGACUUUUUAAAGAAAAGCUUUAUCGUAUCUCAAAUGCCUAAAACCUCUUGUGUCAAGUUUGCUUUAUUAAUAAUUUAGAGAUGCUCUUUCUUUUUUUUUAUUAUACUUUAAGUUCUAGGGUACAUGUGCACAAUGUGCAGUUUUGUUACAUAUGUAUACAUGUGCCAUGUUGGUGUGCUGCACCCAUUAACUCGUCAUUUACAUUAGGUGUAUCUCCUAAUGCUAUCCCUCCCUCCUCCCCUCACCCCACCACAGGCCCCGGUGUGUGAUGUUCCCCUUCCUGUGUCCAGGUGUUCUCAUUGUGGAGCCGCUCUUUCUAUGUCCUGCCCAGGCAGAGGCCUUCCCAAAAGCUCUAGAGCAGUAGUUCUCAAAAUGUGACCCUGGACUCGCAGCAUCAGUGUCACCUGGGAGCUUGUUAGGUAUGCAAAUUCUCCAACCCCACCCCAGCAUUACUGAAUCAGCAAUUCUGGGACGGGGUCCAGCAAUCUGUGUUUUAACAACACUCCAGGUAAUUCUGGUGCACACUGAAGUUUGAGAACCAUUGAUCCAGAUGUAUGAAAACUCAUUUUCCAAGUUAACACUGAGUUCCAAAAGGUUUAUAUCAAAGUACUCCUUUUGUUGAAUCUUCCUCUGUAUGUCAAAUUACCUGUUUACAAUCCUCCGGGGGUCCCCUCUUGCCUUCAUGACAAAAAACAAAUUGCUUAGCUUGGUCUACAGAGAACUUACAAGCCAGCCCCUACCCAGCCCCGCCUCCCUACCGCAUACACCAUGCUCCACACCCACAGUGCACAUUGCCCACUUUGUGUUAUGCAUAUGCUGGGUCCUUUCCCUGGAAUAUAAUACUUUUUCCCUCCUUUGCCUGGUAGACCUCUCUCCUUGAAGACAAAGUGUUGAUAUCAACUCCACCUUCAAGUCUCUCAAGCAGAACUAGAUGCUGUUUCUUCAAUGUUUCCACAUCUUCUUGUUCACAUGUGUCUAAGAUGCUUCAAGGGAAAUCUGUCUCCCCAGACACUUGCGUACUACAUUGUAAGCCAUUUUUACUAUGAAGAAGAUUGUAAGCUCAAUUACGGGCUUUACUGCGCUGAUAACGAACACAGAUAUGAGACAAGCAGACUUGAGCUCCUGCCUCGAGGAUGGUGAGCAAAGAGCCUAAGCAAAACUGAGAGGAAAUGAAACACAAAGAGGAAACAGAAAGGGUCUCUCUUUGUCACGCAGGUUGGAGUGCAGUGGUAUGAUCACUGACUGCAGGCUUGAUCUCCUGGGCUCAAAUGAUUCUCCCACCUCAGCCUCCUGAGUAGCCAGGACUUCAGGCAUGCAUCACCACAUCUGGCUAAUUUUUGUAUUUUUUGUAGAGAUGGGAUUUUGCCAUGUUGUCCGGGCUGGUCUUGAACUGCUGAGCUCAAGCAAUCUGCUUGCCUCGGCCUCCUAAAGUGCUGGGAUUACAGGCAUGAGCCACCAGGCCCAGUCUAAGGCCUAAUAAGUUAUGCUACCAAAAAUAAAUUAUAUAAGAUAUUGUAAUUUUAUCCUUAUACAGUACAUAGUUUCUC